rnacentral:lncRNA from 1 species
UGGAAGACUACAACUAGAACUAUGCUACAUCUACUCCUAGGGCAGGAAAAGUAAAUAAGGUAAUUGGUUCGAUUGGAAUGUGUUCGGGGGUUCUCAAUCGGCCAUACCCCUUUAUAUUUAUAGGGGAGGAGGUCUGGACCUUUUCCUAAGAGAUAGCCAACAAACUCCCACGUGAUUAGAUGGAUAACCACGCACGAGAUAAGGAUAAACAUCUAAGUUAAUCUAAUCUUGGGACACGCGGACCGUCCGGGCCCAAGGGCCGGACCGUCCGCUCAUUUUGGUGUCCAACAUAUGCCCCCCUGCCUUUUGGUGGAGCUUGGCGAACCAAAAGCAUCAGCGAAAACUUCGGAAACAAUUGACCUCAUGAGCUUUUGUUCCCGAAGUAAGGACUCAGCUCGAUGCAAGUCAUCGGCUCUUGCGAUCAGAUAAUAUAAAUACUUGAUGGAACUUUAAUGCACAGAGGCCGUUUCGGAUCGCAGCCUCUUCGACCAUGUCUACCUGACCAACCUGUCAAUAGGCAAAAACUUGUGGUGCCCCCCAGCCCAAAUAAGCAAACAGAUUGGGCCAGUAAUACGAAUUCAUCGCCGUACCACCCCACACAUGAGCAGGACAACAUAUCGGCGAUGGAUAGAACGGGACGCACCAUGCUAUCCCCGGAGGAGGAUGACAAGGCGAUCUUGGUUGUGCUACCCUUUGGGUCCGUUUAGUCGGCUUUUGCUUUCGCACAUGUCGCCCUUUUGACUUCGUUUGUUUUAUUGGCCGGUUGUGUGGAACGGCCUUCUUCAUAUAUUUGGCAAGCAACUGACCAAAAGUAGGGUCGACUCUACUGAGUCGUCCAGACGUCUUAGUAGUGUUUUGUUUCCUAACACUUGUGUUGGAACGUUGUGGUCCGAUGGUCUGAGGUUGCUGCUUCUGACCAUCUGCAGACCGUCCGACCAUCAUAGCCGGACUGUCCGCGCCUGUCUCGGACUGUUCGGCCUUAGUACCCGGAUCGUCCGGCGUACGCAGGAUAGGUGACCGUGAUCGGGUGUCCGAUCGUGCUUGCCCCCCGGUGCCUCCGGUCUUUCUUUUGUCCGAAGCCUUCAGAGUAACCAUUCUGCGUGACAUAUUUGGUGUGAGAGGAUCACCAAUGACGAUAUUUUUAUUUUUACUUUUAUCGGCCGCACAAGGCCGAAUUAUGGCCUUUUUGCUCGUUGGCUCUAAUGUGGUGAUAGGAACAGGUGGUCUGUCAAUUUUCACCUCUUUUUGAAACCUCAACCGGCCUUCGUUUAUAGCCGAUUGUAUUUGCCGACGGAAGACGGCACAACCAUUGGUGUUGUGGAGAAAGAAGCCAUGCCAUUUGCAAUAAACGCGCCCUUUUAAUUGUUCAACCGGAGGAAUUAUAUGUGACAAUUUAAUAUUACCAUGUUUAAGCAACUCAUCAAAUAUUUUAUCACAUUUAGUAAUAUUAAAUGUGAACUUAACUUUUUCCUUUUGUGUCGAGUGCGGGUGAGGGCGAACAGAAGGUUUAGCCUUAGUGGGCCAAACAAGCUCAGGGACAUGUGACUUUUUUAGUUCUUGGGGCUUGGGUGGCCGAUUAUUUUAUGUCGGCCUUCCGCACUAGGCGGAUCACAGGUGACUUCUGGUGCUCCGGACGGUCCGACCUGCACAGUCGAACGGUCUGCAGGUGGAUCGGACGGUCCGGUACUAUCCUCGGACUGUCCGGUCACGUCAGGCAACACCUGUGACCCUUGUUGUGGGCUCUGUGUAACUCCGGACGGUCCGGCGUAGGGUGCCGGACGGUCUGACGGAGGGCCGGACGGUCCGCUAUUGUGUGCGGACGGUCCGACCGCGCUUAGAGUUGACUCACCAUUUAGUGAAGAUGGUGGUGACGGUCAUCCUGGAUAUGAGUCCAUCGGCAUACUAGAGUAUGGCUGGGGAAACCCAUUUGUUGCCGAUGUGUGUUGGCGCAAUUGUUUUGGCGCCUAAUUUAUGUGAUAAAAAAACUAGGCAUGUGAGUUUUUCCUAAUGCAUGCGCCAUCCUUUCUAUAUCCUCUGUGAUACUUUUAAUCCGAUUAUCAAAAGAAAUUUUAAUAGAUGGAAUAUCAUCGACUGACCUGGCAUCACCUAUUGUGGGGAGCUGUUGCAGCACAGAUGACAUGUAAUCGACGUCUAUUUCCCUUUCUUGGACGGUCUUCUGGUGGCAAUCCACCCUGAAGUGCGAGAGGAACCAUUUAUCCGCCACCUUGAGCACCUGAUCUUUUUGUCGUUGGACCUCCUCGUCUAUUUUCUUCAUGUCAUCUUUUAAUCUUUUAUGCUCAGCGGCCGAUAAAUUAGUCAGCCUUGUGCUGCUGUUUGGAGAAGCCCUGUUGAGAUCUUUAGAAUCGACCAUAUAAGCCUGAUUUUGUAGAUCUUCAACCUCGUCCCCAGCGGAGUCGCCAAAAGUAUGUUGGUGCCUUUUUGGGGGCGCCAAUCACUCAAUACGAACCGGCGGCGGUGCUCUCUGGUCAGGCGCGGACGGUCCGCGGCACAGGGCCAGAUGGUCCGCGACUUGGCGCGAGGCUAGGAUUCCCUGCCUGACGGCCGGACAGUCCACGCUCUAGGGCCGGACGGUCCGCGACCUGGCGACAUGGUCGUCUUCCUCCUCCUUGCUGGAAUCUAGAUCUCGUCCCCUGGGGGGAAAAGAUCUUAAGGUGCUCUGGGUCGAUAGAUCACCCGGGGCGUCCCCAGACGACAUGGAGCCGCAUAGGAAUUAAGAGAUCAAUUCUAGGAAGAGAUCUUGGAUGGACAACUAGAUCUUGCCCCCGGGAGGGGUGAGAUCCUAGGAUUGUCUUGGGAUCGGCAGGCCACCCAAGACGGAUCUAGACGACGUAGAGUUGAAUAGGGAUGGAGGUGGAUAUGUGGAAGACUACAACUAGAACUAUGCUACAUCUACUCCUAGGGCAGGAAAAGUAAAUAAGGUAAUUGGUUCGAUUGGAAUGUGUUCGGGGGUUCUCAAUCGGUCGUACCCCUUUAUAUUUAUAGGGGAGGAGGUCUGGACCUUUUCCUAAGAGAUAGCCAACAAACUCCCACGUGAUUAGAUGGAUAACCACGCACGAGAUAAGGAUAAACAUCUGAGUUAAUCUAAUCUCGGGACACGCGGACCGUCCGGGCCCA